rnacentral:rRNA from 1 species
UGGGGAAUAUUGGACAAUGGGCGAAAGCCUGAUCCAGCCAUGCCGCGUGAGUGACGAAGGCCUUAGGGUUGUAAAACUCUUUCGUCGGGGACGAUAAUGACGGUACCCGAAGAAGAAGCUCCGGCUAACUUCGUGCCAGCAGCCGCGGUAAUACGAAGGGAGCUAGCGUUGUUCGGAAUUACUGGGCGUAAAGCGCACGUAGGCGGACUUGUCAGUCAGGGGUGAAAUCCCAAGGCUCAACCUUGGAACUGCCUCCGAUACAGCAAGCCUAGAGAUCGGGAGAGGUGAGUGGAAUUCCUAGUGUAGAGGUGAAAUUCGUAGAUAUUAGGAAGAACACCAGUGGCGAAGGCGGCUCACUGGCCCGAUACUGACGCUGAGGUGCGAAAGCGUGGGGAGCAAACAGGAUUAGAUACCCCCGUAGUCCCUGAGCGGGCUGGCAAGGCGCAU